AUGUCAAUAUCGGCAACAAUGAAAUUUAUAGUAAGAGGAAAAUCCGUCGACUUUAAAAAUCGUGAGGGUUCAAGUCCCUCUAUCCCCAAAAAAAGCCUAUUUGACUCCCAAAAUAUUUAUCCUAUCCCCUUUUUUCGUUAA
rnacentral:tRNA from 3 species